rnacentral:rRNA from 1 species
AUGAUGAACAUGUGCAUCAACAUGAUUCGUAUCGAGCACCAUCGCAAGGACAUCAAUUUAGUAGCCAGCAAGUAUAUUGACAUGGUAGUUGAAGCCAUGAAUGCACGCUUAGCUGAUCAUGAAAAGAAGGUAGGCAGGAAGUUAAUGGAAAUUGAGCACAGAUUUGAUGUCAAAUACCAGACGCUAGGUGAAGACUUGAUCGACAUGAAGACUAAAACUGGCACUAAUCCUAGGUUGUCGAAGGCCGAGGACGAAAUUAAAGACUUAAGGAGGGAACUACAUGAAUUAAAAUACGAAUUUACAAGCAACCGACAAUCAGUGUCACAGAAAGGAGGCGUGCAGGAUCAAGUCAAUGUGUGCAAUUCAUCACUGACAGGAACUCCUAGGGCUAGCCAAUUCACGGCAGGGACUUCGACUACACCAAGUGCAAGACAUGUGACGGAAAACAAUGAGAAACCACAAUUAACUCCGAUGAAGCCUGUCUUUGGUAAUGAUUACAAGUUCACGGAUGAGGACAUAGAGACAGCCGUUUACAUCCGCGGAACAUACGACCCUGUUGAAAUAGCUAGAAUCGGAGACAUUACCCUCAUAGCAGAAAAACUGAAGCGAAAUUUGGACGACAAAUACAUUUAUGGUGAUGUUAUUAUGGCAUAUGCUCGCAUUAGCCAAAUUGCGAAUGAUACUACCUCAAUCAUAUCCCCUGAAGAAACCGAAAAGCUGUUACAAAUGAAGGGGGUGGUUCCUGUUGGACGUGCAGCCUCAUGGUUAGCUCGUGUAGCAGAAAAAUUUGUAGGGCGCCGAAAGGUGCAUGUCCCACUGAAUGUACACCAAAACCAUUGGAUGCUAAUGAUGUUUAAUUUUGACAAAAAAGAAAUUCAGACUCUGAACUCCAUGAAUUAUCAUUGCGAGAAGACCAAGGAAGAUUCUCUUGUGGACUCGAUUCAGUUCUGCAUCGACGAAGCUGUCAAGAAUGGGUUGAUAUCACCAGCUAAGAACAUCAAUUUUGCCGAAUGGACCAAAAAACGCUAUGAGAACAUACCACAACAGACCGAUGGGACUUCCUAUGCGGUUUGGACACUGCAGUACAUGUUGUCAUGGAACGGGGAUGAAAUGACCGAUAUUUUCAACCAGGUAAUUGAAUGCCUAAUUUACAUUUGUACUUUGUUUAGCUUGAAAGCUAUGCUGAUAACUAACGUAGCACUCUCUCUUAUACAGAAGGAGGUGUACGAUGUCCAGCAAGCAGUUCUACCUGAUGGUUCAGAAGACGACGUACAAUUAGUCAACAAUCCUGAUGGUUCCAACGAACCCGACACAUCCAACUCCCAGAAGGAUACCGGUCACCCAACUCCCCCAAAAGUGGUGCACCCAACUCCCCAAAAAGGAAGAGAGCACGUGGACGCCCGAGAAAGCUAG